rnacentral:rRNA from 1 species
GACGAACGCUGGCGGCGUGCCUAAUACAUGCAAGUCGAGCGGAUUAAUGGGAGCUUGCUCCCGUUAAUUAGCGGCGGACGGGUGAGUAACACGUGGGCAACCUACCUGUAAGACUGGGAUAACUUCGGGAAACCGGAGCUAAUACCGGAUGACACUGAGGAACUCCUGUUCCUUAGUUGAAAGAUGGCUUCGGCUAUCACUUACAGAUGGGCCCGCGGCGCAUUAGCUAGUUGGUGAGGUAACGGCUCACCAAGGCGACGAUGCGUAGCCGACCUGAGAGGGUGAUCGGCCACACUGGGACUGAGACACGGCCCAGACUCCUACGGGAGGCAGCAGUAGGGAAUCUUCCGCAAUGGACGAAAGUCUGACGGAGCAACGCCGCGUGAGCGAUGAAGGCCUUCGGGUCGUAAAGCUCUGUUGUUAGGGAAGAACAAGUACCGGAGUAACUGCCGGUACCUUGACGGUACCUAACCAGAAAGCCACGGCUAACUACGUGCCAGCCGCCGCAGUAAGAC